GGGCUCGUAGUUCAGUAGUAGAAUGCCCCCUUGGCUGGGGGGAGGCCGCGGGUGCGAAUCCCGCCGAGUCCA
rnacentral:tRNA from 1 species